rnacentral:rRNA from 1 species
UACGUAGGGCGCAAGCGUUGUCCGGAAUUAUUGGGCGUAAAGAGCUCGUAGGCGGUCUGUCGCGUCGGAUGUGAAAACCCAGGGCUCAACCCUGGGCCUGCAUUCGAUACGGGCAGGCUAGAGUACGGCAGGGGAGACUGGAAUUCCUGGUGUAGCGGUGAAAUGCGCAGAUAUCAGGAGGAACACCGGUGGCGAAGGCGGGUCUCUGGGCCGAAACUGACGCUGAGGAGCGAAAGCGUGGGGAGCGAACAGG